rnacentral:rRNA from 1 species
CACAUGCAAGUCGAACGAGACCUUCGGGUCUAGUGGCGCACGGGUGCGUAACGCGUGGGAACCUGCCUUAGGUUCGGAAUAACUCAGAGAAAUUUGAGCUAAUACCGGAUAAUGUCUUCGGACCAAAGAUUUAUCGCCUUUAGAUGGGCCCGCGUUGGAUUAGCUAGUUGGUGGGGUAAAGGCCUACCAAGGCGACGAUCCAUAGCUGGUCUGAGAGGAUGAUCAGCCACACUGGGACUGAGACACGGCCCAGACUCCUACGGGAGGCAGCAGUGGGGAAUAUUGGGACAAUGGGCGAAAGCCUGAUCCAGCAAUGCCGCGUGAGUGAUGAAGGCCUUAGGGUUGUAAAGCUCUUUUACCCGAGAUGAUAAUGACAGUAUCGGGAGAAUAAGCUCCGGCUAACUCCGUG